GAAAUUCCAAUCGAACCUGGAGAUAGCUGGUUCUCUCCGAAAUAGCUUUAGGGCUAGCCUCGCAUGAUGAUUACUGGAGGUAGAGCACUGUUUGGACUAGGGGCCCCCCUCGGGUUACCGAAUUCAGACAAACUCCGAAUGCCAGAUAAUUUAAUGCGGGAGUCAGACUGCGGGUGAUAAGGUCCGUAGUCGAGAGGGAAACAGCCCAGACCACCAGCUAAGGUCCCAAAAUAUAUGUUAAGUGG
rnacentral:rRNA from 1 species